UACGUAGGGGGCUAGCGUUGUCCGGAAUCAUUGGGCGUAAAGCGCGUGUAGGCGGUCCGGUAAGUCCGCUGUGAAAGUCGGGGGCUCAACCCUCGGAUGCCGGUGGAUACUGUCGGGCUUGAGUACUAAAGAGGGUCGCGGAAUUCCCGGUGUAGAGGUGAAAUUCGUAGAUAUCGGGAGGAACACCGGUGGCGAAGGCGGCGACCUGGGUAGAUACUGACGCUGAGGCGCGAAAGCGUGGGGAGCAAACAGG
rnacentral:rRNA from 1 species